GUAGGUGGCAAGCGUUGUCCGGAAUUAUUGGGCGUAAAGCGCGCGCAGGCGGUUCUUUAAGUCUGAUGUGAAAGCCCACGGCUCAACCGUGGAGGGUCAUUGGAAACUGGGGAACUUGAGUACAGAAGAGGAAAGCGGAAUUCCACGUGUAGCGGUGAAAUGCGUAGAGAUGUGGAGGAACACCAGUGGCGAAGGCGGCUUUCUGGUCUGUAACUGACGCUGAGGCGCGAAAGCGUGGGGAGCAAACAGGGAUUAGAUACCCUGGUAGUCCACGCCGUAAACGAUGAGUGCUAAGUGUUAGGGGGGUUUCCGCCCCCUUAGUGCUGCAGCUAACGCAUUAAGCACUCCGCCUGGGGAGUACGGCCGCAAGGCUG
rnacentral:rRNA from 1 species